GGGCGACUGUGGCAGCGGUCGCCGUGAUGCCUGAGGGGCUGGGCGGCUGACGGCGGAGUAGGAGCGGGCCCUGGGCCCAGAAUCUCUGCGCCCGCUGCUCGAGAGCGGCCUGCGCCAUGGCCACCUCCGCCGCCUCCUCGGAGCAUUUCGAGAAACUGCACGAGAUCUUCCGCGGCCUCCAUGAAGACCUACGAGGGGUGCCGGAGCGGCUCCUGGGGAUGGCAGGGACAGAAGAGAAGAAGUUGAUCAGAGAUUUCGAUGAAAAGCAACAGGAAGCAAAUGAAACGCUGGCAGAGAUGGAAGAGGAACUGCGUUAUGCACCCCUAUCUUUUCGUAACCCUAUGAUGUCUAAGCUGCGAACCUACCGGAAGGACCUUGCCAAACUCCAUCGGGAAGUGAGAAGUACGCCUUUGACAGCCACUCCUGGGGCCCGAGGAGACAUGAAAUAUGGCACAUACGCUGUGGAGAACGAGCAUAUGAAUCGGCUACAGUCUCAAAGGGCAUUGCUUCUGCAAGGCACUGACAGCCUGAACCGUAUUGAGCGUUCUCAUCGUAUUGCCGCAGAGACUGACCAGAUUGGCUCAGAAAUCGUAGAAGAGCUGGGGAAGCAACGUGACCAGUUGGAACGUACCAAGAGUAGACUGGUAAAUACAAGUGAAAACUUGAGCAAAAGUCGGAAGAUUCUCCGCUCAAUGUCCAGAAAAGUGACAACCAACAAGCUGCUACUUUCCAUCGUCAUCUUACUGGAGCUAGCCAUUCUGGGAGGCCUGGUUUAUUACAAAUUCUUUCGCAGGCAUUAAACCUCCUGUAGGGAAGGGUUUGUGGACCAGAACUGUGACUCUGUGAAUGAAUGGCGUUAGAGGUGUGGAAAAAAAUCUUAUUGCUGCUGUGAACUAGCGGUUCAAGAAGGCACUGUGUAGCCAGACUGUGGGUGGAGG